rnacentral:rRNA from 1 species
ACGUAGGUGGCGAGCGUUAUCCGGAUUUAUUGGGUUUAAAGGGUGCGUAGGCGGCUUAAUAAGUCGGUGGUUAAAAGUAGCAGCUUAACUGUUUUACAUGCCAUCGAUACUGUUGAGCUUGAGAUAUUUGGAGGCAGCUAGAAUUUCCGGUGUAGCGGUGAAAUGCAUAGAUACCGGAAGGAAUACCAAUUGCGAAGGCAGGUUGCUACGAAUAAACUGACGCUGAUGCACGAAAGCGUGGGGAUCAAACAGG